CGCGUAGGUGGUUUGUUAAGCGGGAUGUGAAAGCCCCGGGCUUAACCUGGGAACGGCAUUUCGAACUGGCAGGCUAGAGUGUGGUAGAGGGUAGUGGAAUUUCCUGUGUAGCGGUGAAAUGCGUAGAUAUAGGAAGGAACACCAGUGGCGAAGGCGGCUACCUGGACCAACACUGACACUGAGGUGCGAAAGCGUGGGGAGCAAACA
rnacentral:rRNA from 1 species